CUAACACCUGUAAUUCCAACACUUCGGUGGGAGGCCGAGGUGGGCGAAUUACUUGAGGUCAGGAGUCUGAGACCAGCCUGGCCAACAUGGUGAAACCCUGUAACCCUGUCUCUACUAAAAAUACAAAAAAAAAAAAAAAUUAGCUGGGUGUGGUGGUGGGCGCCUGUAGUGCUACAUACUCAGGAGGCUGAGGCAGGAGAAUCGCUUGAACCUGGGAGAUGGAGGUUGCAGUGAGCUGAGAUUCAGCCACUCCAGCCUGGGCAACAGAGCGAGACUCUGUCCCCCACCCACCUCCCCGCCAAAAAAAGUAUUUUAAAAUUUCCCUCCCCCUUCCAGGGGAGGCUAAUUACUCUUCAGAGCCAAGAUCAGGAUACCUCAUCUAAU
rnacentral:lncRNA from 10 species